rnacentral:tRNA from 2 species
GGGCCUGUAGCUCAGAUGGCUAGAGCGCGACAAUCGCACUGUCGAGGCCAGGGGUUCGAGUCCCCUCAGGUCCACCA